GGCGGACGGGUGAGUAACGCGUGGGUAACCUGCCUCAUACGGGGGGAUAACAGUUAGAAAUGACUGCUAAUACCGCAUAAGCACACAGCUUCGCAUGAAGCAGUGUGAAAAACUCCGGUGGUAUGAGAUGGACCCGCGUCUGAUUAGGUAGUUGGUGGGGUAACGGCCCACCAAGCCGACGAUCAGUAGCCGACCUGAGAGGAAGGUCCCCCACAUUGGAACUGAGACACGGUCCAAACUCCUACGGGAGGCAGCAGUGAGGAAUAUUGGUCAAUGGACGCGAGUCUGAACCAGCCAAGUAGCGUGAAGGAUGACUGCCCUAUGGGUUGUAAACUUCUUUUAUAUGGGAAUAAAGUGGUCCACGUGUGGACUUUUGUAUGUACCAUAUGAAUAAGGAUCGGCUAACUCCGUGCCAGCAGCCGCGGUAAUACGGAGGAUCCGAGCGUUAUCCGGAUUUAUUGGGUUUAAAGGGAGCGUAGGCGGAUUGUUAAGUCAGUUGUGAAAGUUUGCGGCUCAACCGUAAAAUUGCAGUUGAUACUGGCAGUCUUGAGUGCAGUAGAGGUGGGCGGAAUUCGUGGUGUAGCGGUGAAAUGCUUAGAUAUCACGAAGAACUCCGAUUGCGAAGGUAGCUCACUGGAGUGUAACUGACGCUGAUGCUCGAAAGUGUGGGUAUCAAACAGGAUUAGAUACCCUGGUAGUCCACACAGUAAACGAAGAAUCCUCCCUGUUUGCGAUAUACAGUAAGCGGCCAAGCGAAAGCAUUAAAGUAUUCCCACCUGGGGAGUACCCCGGCAACGGGGAAACUCAAAAGGAAUUGACGGGGGCCCGCACAAGCGGAGGAACAUGUGGUUUAAUUCGAUGAUACGCGAGGAACCUUACCCGGGCUUAAAUUGCAAAUGAAUUAUGGGGAAACCCAUACGCCGCAAGGCAUUUGUGAAGGUGCUGCAUGGUUGUCGUCAGCUCGUGCCGUGAGGUGUCGGCUUAAGUGCCAUAACGAGCGCAACCCUUAUCUUCAGUUACUAACAGGUCAUGCUGAGGACUCUGGAGAGACUGCCGUCGUAAGAUGUGAGGAAGGUGGGGAUGACGUCAAAUCAGCACGGCCCUUACGUCCGGGGCUACACACGUGUUACAAUGGGGGGUACAGAAGGCCGCUACCUGGUGACAGGAUGCCAAUCCCAAAAACCUCUCUCAGUUCGGAUCGAAGUCUGCAACCCGACUUCGUGAAGCUGGAUUCGCUAGUAAUCGCGCAUCAGCCAUGGCGCGGUGAAUACGUUCCCGGGCCUUGCACA
rnacentral:rRNA from 1 species